rnacentral:lncRNA from 1 species
UACGCUUUGCCUCAUAAUACUAUGUUGGUGUUGGCACGUGAAACCCCAGAUAUUAUUAUUAAACUUUCAGUUGUUUGUUGUUCGGAGGCGCAUGUCAAAUGUAGAGUAAACAAUAUAGGGUGGCAGAGAGUAAGUACAAAACACAAAAUUAAACACGAGAAUGAAUCACAAGAAUAAUCGAUCAUGAAUCACCUAA